AGAGUUUGAUUCUGGCUCAGGAUGAACGCUGGCGGCAUGCCUAACACAUGCAAGUCGAACGGGGUUUAUAUGACGGAACUCUCCGGAGGGAAGAUAUAUAAACCUAGUGGCGGACGGGUGAGUAACGCGUGGGCAACCUGCCCUGUACCGGGGGACAACAGCCAGAAAUGGCUGCUAAUACCGCAUAAGCCUGCUGUGCCGCAUGGCACAGCAGGGAAAACCACGGUGGUACAGGAUGGGCCCGCGUCUGAUUAGUUAGUUGGCAGGGUAACGGCCUACCAAGACAACGAUCAGUAGCCGGCUUGAGAGAGUGGACGGCCACAUUGGGACUGAGACACGGCCCAGACUCCUGCGGGAGGCAGCAGUGGGGAAUAUUGCACAAUGGGGGGAACCCUGAUGCAGCAAUGCCGCGUGGGUGAAGAAGCACUCCGGUGCGUAAAGCCCUGUCAGCAGGGAAGAAAAUGACAGUACCUGGACAAGAAGCCCCGGCUAACUACGUGCCAGCAGCCGCGGUAAUACGUAGGGGGCAAGCGUUAUCCGGAUUUACUGGGUGUAAAGGGAGCGCAAGCGGCGUGGCAAGUCAGAUGUGAAAACCCGGGGCCCAACCCCGGGAGUGCAUUUGAAACUGCCAUGCUGGAGUGCCGGAAAGGUAAGCGGAAUUC
rnacentral:rRNA from 1 species